rnacentral:rRNA from 1 species
GACGAACGCUGGCGGCGUGCUUAACACAUGCAAGUCGAACGAUGAAGCUAGAGCUUGCUCUGGUGAAUUAGUGGCGAACGGGUGAGUAACACGUGAGUAACCUGCCCCGAACUCUGGGAUUACUGCUGGAAACGGUAGCUAAUACUGGAUACGACCUACGAAGGCAUCUUCUGUAGGUGGAAAGAAUUUCGGUUCGGGAUGGACUCGCGGCCUAUCAGCUUGUUGGUGAGGUAAUGGCUCACCAAGGCGCCGACGGGUAGCCGGCCUGGGAGGGUGACCGGCCACACUGGGACUGAGACACGGCCCAGACUCCUACGGGAGGCAGCAGUGGGGAAGAUUGCACAAUGGGCGCAAGCCUGAUGCAGCAACGCCGCGUGAGGGAUGACGGCCUUCGGGUUGUAAACCUCUUUUAGUAGGGAAGAAGCGAAAGUGACGGUACCUGCAGAAAAAGCACCGGCUAACUACGUGCCAGCCGCCGCAGUAA